rnacentral:rRNA from 1 species
GACGAACGCUGGCGGCGUGCUUAACACAUGCAAGUCGAACGGAAAGGCCCUGCUCUUGUGGGGUUCUCGAGAGGCGAACGGGUGAGUAACACGUGAGUAACCCGCCCUUGACUUUCGGAUAACACUAGGAAACUGGGGCUAAUACAGGAUAGGAGCUCCUGAACCAUAGUGUGCGAUAGUAAGUUUCGGCGUUGUGGGAUGGACUAGCGGCUUAUCAGCUUGUUGGUGGGGUAGUGGCUUACCAAGGCUGUGACGGAUAGCCGGCCUGAGAGGGUGACCGGCCACAAUGGGACUAAGAGACGGCCCAGUCUCCAACGGGAGGCAGCAGUCGGGAGUAUUGCGCAAUGAGGGGGAGCCUGUUGCGGCAGCGCCGCGUGCGGAAUGACGGCCUUCUGGUUAAGAACCGCUUUCGCCUGUGACGAAGCGUGCGUGACGGUAAUGGGUAAGGAAGCACCGGCUAACUACGUG